GCCGCCACCAGCAACAGCUGAGAGAGUAGCGGUGAACAGUACCGUUGACUGCAGCGCAGAGACAGUCUUCAGCUGUCUGUCCACUGUAACUCAGGACUUGUGGUGUCCCGCUCAUACACGUUUGAGGACACACCAUGUCCUUCAUUCUUAUGAAAAAGAAGAGAUUCAAAUUCAAAGUUGAAUUCGUGUUGGAGGAAUUAUCAUCAGUUCCCUUCGUCAACGGAGUUAUAUUCUGUAAAGUCAGACUCAUAGAUGGAGGCUUUGCAGUUGAGUCUUCUCGUGAACCGGUCCAAGCGAACUGUGUACACUGGAAGAAGAGAUUUUCCUUCAUGUGCAAGAUGAGUGCCAAUGCUGGGACAGGUGUACUAGACCCUUGUGUGUGCCGGGUGUCUGUGCGCAAGGAAUUGAAAGGCGGAAAAACGUUUGCAAAGCUGGGUUUUGCUGACUUAAACCUGUCUGAGUUUGCUGGGUCUGGCAGCACUACAAGAAGGUGCCUCCUAGAAGGAUAUGACACCAAGAACACCAGACAGGACAACUCAAUUCUCAAGGUUGUCAUCACCACACAACUUAUGUCUGGAGACCCCUGUUUUAAAACUCCCCCAUCUACAGCCAUGACUCUGGGAAUCCCACAGGCUGAAUCAGAGUGUCUGCUCGAGGAGAGGAAGGGAGGGGACAAAGACAUAUCCCAUUCAAUCACUGGAACUCCUGGACAUUCGGUAUCAGUCCCAGAGGACCUGGUAGCAUAUGGUCACAAAAGGACGUCCAGCUAUGCGAGUCAGCAGUCAAAAAUCUCAGGUUACAGCUCAAAUCACUCCAGUUUAACAGAUCUAAGCCAUCGGAGGAGCGCAUCAGGAGGUUCUGCCUCCACAGGCAUCGGUAGCAUCAUGGAACCCAGUGAGCAGCAGGCAGAGAGAGGAGAGAAGGAGAGCAGGUCCAGUCCCCUGAUCUCUGCAAACUUCCAUCAUGCACCUGAACACCCCUCGACCCCCGCCAAGGUUCCAAGACAUCCAGUGAAGCAGAACUCAAUGGAGAAUCAGUUGAAAAGAGUGGAUGCCACCAGGGUGGAUGCUGAUGACAUAAUUGAGAAAAUCCUACAGAGCCAGGAUUUCAGCAGUGGCUUCUUGGACUCCAGUGCAGAGGGAAGUCGGCCAUUUUGGUUUUGAUUUUUCCCGCCAAAAGUUGGUGAAGCUACAUUAUGAACACUGUGAAGCUACGAGUAAUGGCGUCCCUGUGGGGGCAUGGCUACCAUCAAUUCCUCGCCAUGAAAAUACGUUUGGCUUUUUGAUGGCUUUAUUGAACACGUAUCAUCAUGAAAAUUGAUACACAGGUCCAGGGUGGAGACCUCUUCCAUCUGAUAGGGGUGUCGCUCAUGUCGCCCCCUAGUGGAAACAGGAAGUGCCAUUUUUUGCAUCAACAUUGUCCGAUUUCCACGAAACUUCACAUGUGUGAUGAGGGACUGACCCUGAACACACCUGCAUGCAUCCCAUUACUGCCCCCUGGUGGAUGAACCAUCAACUGCUCAUAACUCCCUCAUGCUUUGUCCCAUUUCCACGAAACUUCACAUGUGUGAUGAGGGACUGACCCUGAACACACCUGCAUGCAUCCCAUUACUGCCCCCUGGUGGAUGAACCAUCAAAUGCUCAUAACUCCCUCUUGCUUUGUCCGAUUCACUCCAAACUUCACAUGAGUGAUGAGGGGCCGCCCCUGAACACACCACACCACAUGUGCUGACUGCCCCCUGGUGGAUGAACCAUUAACUGCUCAUAACUCCCUCAUGCUUUGUCCAAUUCACUCCAAACUUCACAUGAGUGAUGAGGGGCCGCCCCUGAACACACCACACCACCUUUGGUGACUGACCCCUGGCGGAUGAACCAUUAACUGCUCAUAACUCCUUCAUGCUUUGUCCAAUUCACUCCAAACUUCACAUGACUGAUGAGUGGCCGCCCUGAACACACCAGACCAUAUGUGUAACUACCUGUGACUGCCCCCUACUGGAUGAACGAGACAUUGCAUUUUUGGCCUCCUUCCAGGUUUUUUCUCACUUUCUGCUUCACACCACAGCCCCGCCAUGCCUCAGGCCCCGCGGUGGCAUGGGUGAGCGAGGGCCCACCAUCGCCGCUUGCGGCUUUAAUUUCUAUUGUGUCUGUUUCUGCAGAGGAGGGUCUCCGGUUGUUUGUAGGUCCUGGUGGGAGUACAACCUUGGGAAGCCAGCACACAAGGGUUGCAGCUGGAGCCUUUGAGCAGGUGGUGAUCAAGCGCUAGGCUUUGGGAAGCAUGUGCCUGUCAUAAAGGGUGCCGUAUUACACUGAUGCAGGGGACACAAGACGAAGCAGCGGAGUUGAGGCAGCAUCAGAAACUGCUCCCUCCUCACUACAGGAGAAUUCAUUUCUCUUACGCAAUCCCGCUGCACGUUACCUACAGCAUCUGUAGACCGGGAGAGCCCUCUAGUGUUCAAGAAGUGGAGUUGAAGGCCAAAUUGUCGGAACAUUUUGGUGGCUGAAACAAUAGUUGUGUUGACAUUUCUGUUUGUCUUCUUCUGCUCUAAGAGAACUGUAAGACAAGUGGUUAGAGCGGUAAAUCUACCAUAUUCUGUUCACCCCUCCUUGCAGAAUUUGUGUGUAUAUGUUUCUCAUGUUUUUUGUUAUUUAAAAAAAUAUGUAAAAGUCUUCAGCAUGUUUUUUUUUUCUGGUCCAGUUACAUUUUGUUUAACCAUUAUACUGGUACCAGUAGUGUAAGUGGGUGGUGAUGAAGAAUGUGAAAGUGUUUCUCUUAAACUGACUGAGUAUAGAAAAGAUAAUGUCACGAACUAUCAAGGUGUUGUCCUCUUCAAAACUGCUAAUUAAUAUGGAUGUCACUGAGGACUUUGUGAGCAAGAUGUUAUGUGAUGUGAAAAUCACAGACCACCACAAGUCCUAUUUUCUUAAUGGAAUAAGUGGGUGGAGGGGGGACUGCGUCUGUUCCUUGCAGUCUCAUUUAUUUACGUAGAAGAAUAGAAACUUGUGACUGUGGAACUGCAGGUUACAACCUCUUAGCUAAUAUCACAAGCCCGUCUUCACUGAAUCACCUCCUCACCUGGUUGUGAGGGAGGUUCAUUGUAUUGAAAAUAUAACAUGAUCACCAUUGAGUUUUUAUAUUUGGUUCCUUUAGUAUUAUAUCUAGUUGUGUGACUGUGUGUGUAUGUCAGUUGUCUAAAAAGUGAGAGCAAUGAAUUUAUUUUUAACAACAUUUUGUAAAGGUGCAAAACUCGGUAAAAUGUAUAUUUGAAAUAUAUUUUAUACCCACUUGGAAGCUAUUAUUUAGUGCGAGUCAGCAGUAUAAAGGCUAUGGUGUUUUUAAGAUUCAUGUGUUAUCUUUAAGAUGUUGAAUGUUAAUGUUAUAUUUAAGGUCAAAUCUGUAAAUUAAAAAAAAUGUGCACUCUGUAUAACUCGUUACAACUUUUAGUGGUGCAUUUCACCAGACCUUUUUGUAAAAGGUGU